CAACACUGCUGCUAGCUUCUCUUGUAGCAAUAACAUGCUCCCUCCAAAGCUCACAGUGACAUUACCUUCUGUUAGGUAGUUAGCCGCUCAGCCCAGUGGACAUUUCAGAAUAAAAGCACUUCCAUUGCUGCUUUACUUCCGUUGUGAGUUAAAGUGUUGUGAGGUAAGUUAAUGUGUUGUGACCCUUCUGGGCCAUGAGUUAAUGUGUUGUGUUGUGAGUUAUUGUGUUGUGUUGUGAGUUUUGGUGUUGUGUUGUGAGUUAUUGUGUUGUGUUGUGAGUUAAUGUGUUUUGUGUAAAGUUAACGUGUUGUGUUGUGACCCUUCUGGGCCACCGUAUGAUUGUAUUUUGCACCUUCCCACAUUGCCAAAAUUGCCUAAAUCUUUUUCAAUGACUAUGAUGUUACUGUUUGAUCAGCCAGUAAAGUUCUCUGAGAUGAAUCCAAUAAAUAAAAUCUAUAAUCUGUUAAGAAGAGGAAGAUGAAACACCAAGCCUAAUGAAAGAGACGACUUGAAGUCAGCUGUUAAAUCAGCCUGAGCUUUCAUUACAUGUACACCCCCCCAAUCUGGUGGCCUCAAUGACACAGAACAUUGAGGUAGUAAUUCAGUUCAAAGGAGGCAUUAACUACAUUUUGUCCUGACAUUGUUUUUUUUUAUUUUAGACAAAACUUAUUUAGUUGACCAUUGUUGUAGUUUCUGCUAAGACAAUGUUUAUGUUGUCAAAGUGUGUACAUUAUUAUGAAAAAAUGUUUUGUAAGAGGACCUUCUUGCUUUGAGGCAAGAGCGCUAACCACUGCACCACCGUGCAACCCGACAACAAUUAUGUUUAUGUUUUUUUGUUAUGUUACUGCUGAACGUAACCAGAAUGUUGAUGGAAACUUGUUUGAAGUUACAAACCCCAUUUCUUUCUUUCUCUAUAAAUCUUUGUUUGUAUCACUUUUGUUGAUUUUGAACUUUGGUUUUAAAUGAUGCUGAUUUAUUUCAUAUAAUUUAAACUUUCAUACAUCCUGUAAAAAUACAUACCUAAAGUAACUGUACAAACAUAUUCUAUUAAAAAAGCAAGAAUCGUGGUUCGAUCUGUAAGCCGUUGAGCUUGAUUCAUGAAUUGAAUUGGAUCGCCACCUAAGGAACGAUCCACAGUCUUAGUAGAACCGCAUCCCUACCAUUUAGUGAGGAAAAGAUUUUCCUAAAAAUGUAUGAAGGAAGAUGCAGAUAAAGAACCAGACUGGUGUUUGUGUCUGGUGUUCUUGUGAUUCAUGUUUUCUAGUAAACAUUAGAACUGUUCCUCUGUUCUUUUUGGUUCUCAGUGUUCUGUUCCAAUCUUACUGUGAAUAGUAAAGUGGACCUGAACAUCAGUCAGAAGUGUGGAGUCUUUCCCACAGUGUGGGUUUCUGCUUUUUGGUGAUCUUCUGCUGGUUCCAAAGCUGGACUCUGUUCCAUAAAAGCAGAGCAUGUGACCUACCCGGGUAAGUUUAAGGGUAAAUUAAUUGAUGUUCUACACUUUUGGUUCCAAAUCUUCAUGGAACUUUAAAUAUGAAGGACUGCAUUCACUGUGAAACACGUAUUUAUUCAAAGCCGUGAGCAUAAAAUAACUUUUAAGGAGAAUAAAUGUUAAAACUUUUAGACUAAAUGAAGACUGAAGCAUUUUUCUUUUUUAAUAUCUGCGAAAAAUAUCACAUUUGUCUAAAAAUCAGAAUCAGACUCCAGAACAACUGUUUGUCAUGUCUUUAUUGGACUAAUUUUCACCAUCUGCUGAGCAGAAAUAUCU
ensembl:lncRNA